GCACAGAGCCCGACGCGGGGCUCAAACCCACAAACCGUGAGAUCCUGACCUGAGCCAAAGUUGGACGCUCAACCUACAGCCACACAGGUGCCCCUCCUCCCUCUGACUUCUGCCCCUCACCUCUAUCUCAGCAGGCAGUGGAGGCUCGUGUGUGAGAUCAGCCCCGGAUGGGCCUUUGUAGGUACGAAAGACCAGGCCCCCAGCCAACCAGGAUAUAGAAGACAAAGGCCCAAAUUGUUCUAUCAUUGGAUUUAGGGGUAAAGGCCUAGAAUUUAGGGAACAAGGGUCUGACGUAAGGCAGGGAGGGUCUAGGGAAGGAGUUCCCUCUGCUGUGAGAUGUUUCCUAUGUCAGAAGCUGACAGAUACAUUUCAAGGAACUAUUAUGAGAGGGAGAGAGAGAAUCCCAAGCAGAUUCCAUGCUGUUGGCACAGAGCCAGAUGUGGGGCUGAUUCCACAAGAGAUCAUGACCUAAGCAUAAACCAAGAGUCAGAUGCUUAACCGACUGAGCCACCCAGGCGCCCCUGAAAUUAUUGUAUUUCUAUUCUUACUUGCUUAUUCUUCUACUCACCUCUCUAAAAUGUCAGCUUUCGAAAGCCAGGAAUCUUCCUGUCUUGCUAAUUGUGUCCCUAGGACAGCGCCUGGCCAAUAGCAGACACCCAGCGAGUAUUUGUGGAAAAUGAUAAUGGUGCUGCUGGCCGAUCUAUAUGCAUUCCAUGUGCCAGACACAGUCGUAAGAAUCUCACGUACACGAACUGAUGUCAACCUCAGAGCCGGCACCGUGAUCAAACUGCAGUACAGAGACGUUACUCAACUUGCUGAUUUCUCCCAGGCGGCUCCCCUGGAACCACACACCCCAGCGAAGUCCCUGGAUGCACGAUGAGCCUUUAUCUCCGACUCUGCUUUUUGGGAUACCCAGGCCAACACUGUGCUUGGAGCGUCCCCCAAAGAUAGAGGGCCAAGGGCUGCUCAGCAGUCCCUUCAGCACGACCUGUGGGAGAACUUUUAUAAAUACCUCCUGAAGCCGGGGGAACAUUCUAGAAGGGUGUCUGAUACCUGAAAAGUCACAUGGCCAAGAGUUCAUAACUGGCCAUCAGCUGUCAAACACUUUGUAGGGCCCAAGGAUGUGCAGGAGUGUCUCGAAGGAGCUGUGUCGGCCGGGGGCCUGAUAGGAAGAGCUGGGGGCCUGCGUGGGUUGAUGUGAAGGGGACCCUGGUGGAAAAACUGGAGGUUUUCCAUCACAGGCUCAGACCAGGGGCAAGAGUACAGCUAGUCACUGGACAGAUGGAGUCUCCUGUGUCGGGCGAAGCCAGGACAGCAGACCCUGGGGUAGAUAGAAUACAGGAAGGCUCUCCAAAAUCUACCACUUGAAAGAGAAAGUUUUCGACAUCUGCCACAGCCAGAGGAACCCUCCCUCCGACUGUGCAGACAAGAAAGCUUUCCCUGACCGCUUCCCCAUCUUCACUCCUCAACCCUGGUGAGGCCGGAGGUCACCAAGACAUGGAGGAGAAAGGGGACGAGCGAGGUGGGACAGCUGAGAAGUGACCCGUUUCCCCCCCAGGGCAUCUGUAGUUGAGGGGCAGUGGGGAUGCCCAGCUCAGAAUGACCAUCGACCACAAACAACGAAGAGGACGUGAGGAUCGCUCCGGCCUGGCAUUUUCCUGACCGGCUGGACUUGGAUAGUCAGGCAAGAUCAGAGGGCACGGGAAUGUGGUGGAACUCGCCCCGGAAAGAACUAGCCCCACAGAUCGGUGGGGAAAGAGCAAAAGUGGGUUUUCAGCAGCACAGCAUGAGACCGCCCCCCCCACCCCCCGGUCCACUGUGUGGACCACCUGCUGGGUGGUCUCCCAUCUGCUGGAAGAAACGUGGUGGGAAUGUGGGAUCCCGGACCCCUCGCGCCCUGCCAGUGGCAACGUGCGCUGGUGCAGCCACUGUGAAAAACAAUAUGGCAGCUGCUCAAAAAAAUGAAACAUAGACUCGCUGGACGGUCCAGGAAUUCCACUUCUGGGUACGCACCCCAACGAAUUAAAAGCAGAGACGCGAGAAGAUGAUUUCUAUGCCGGUGUUCGCGGCAGCAUUAAUCACGGUGGCUAAAGCAUGGAAGUGCCCCACGCGUCCAGCGAUGGAUGAAUGGAUACGGUGGGACAUUGGAGUGUGCUCAAUCUUAAAGGGGAAGGAAACUGACACCUGCUAAGACAAGGAAUAACCUUGAGCACCACAUGCUGGCUGGAAUCACCCAGUCACCAAGGGACAGAUACUCCAUUAUUCCACUUACACGAGGCACCUGGAGUUGUCCAAUUCACAGAAACAGAAGGUAGAAUGGCAGUUGCCAGGGGCUGGCGGGUAGAGGGGUAGGGAGUUAGUGCUGAACGGGGACGGAGUGUCAGAUCUGCGGGACGAAGAGUUCUGGAGAUGGAGGGGGGUGACAGUAGCACAACAGAGCCACAGAAUGUACCCUUGAAAUGGUUAAGAUGGUAAAUUUUACGUCCGGCGUAUUUACCGGUUGCAACCCCCCCCCCCACCGCCCUGCUGGGGGUGCGUGUACCUGGAGAACUAGGGUGUUUGUCUGAGCUGGUCCCAGACAGGCACCGUCAGUUGUGAGAACAAAACCUACCUUUUCCUAUUGUCCUAGUUUUCACAGUAAAAGUAAAUAAGUAAAAGUCUGAA